GAUGAACGCUAGCUACAGGCUUAACACAUGCAAGUCGAGGGGAAACGAUAUUGGAAGCUUGCUUCCGAUAGGCGUCGACCGGCGCACGGGUGAGUAACGCGUAUCCAACCUGCCCAUCACUUGGGAAUAACCUUGCGAAAGUAAGACUAAUGCCCAAUGACAUUUAUAGAAGGCAUCGGAAAUGAAUUAAAGAUUUAUCGGUGAUGGAUGGGGAUGCGUCUGAUUAGCUUGUUGGCGGGGUAACGGCCCACCAAGGCGACGAUCAGUAGGGGUUCUGAGAGGAAGGUCCCCCCACAUUGGAACUGAGACACGGUCCAAACUCCUACGGGAGGCAGCAGUGAGGAAUAUUGGUCAAUGGACGAGAGUCUGAACCAGCCAAGUAGCGUGCAGGAUGACGGCCCUAUGGGUUGUAAACUGCUUUUAUAAGGGAUAAAGUGAGUCUCGUGAGACUUUUUGCAUGUACCUUAUGAAUAAGGACCGGCUAAUUCCGUGCCAGCAGCCG
rnacentral:rRNA from 1 species